CACAGGUCGGGACCGGCGGCAGCGGUAAUACGUAGUGGCCUGGCGUGUGCCGGAUGUAUUGGGCGUACAGAGCACGUAGGCGGUUCGGUAAGUCAGGUGUGAAAGCUCCACGAUCAACGUGGAGGCGCCACCUGAAACUGCGGUGACUCGAGUCCGGUAGGGGAGUGUGGAAUUCCCGGUGUAGCGGUGAAAUGCGCAGAUAUCGGGAGGAACACCAGUAGCGAAGGCGGCACUCUGGGCCGGUACUGACGCUGAGGAGCGAAAGCGUGGGGAGCGAACAGGAUUAGAUACCCAGUAGUC
rnacentral:rRNA from 1 species